rnacentral:rRNA from 1 species
UACGGAGGGGGCAAGCGUUGUUCGGAAUCACUGGGCGUAAAGCGCACGUAGGCGGAUUUGUCAGUCAGGUGUGAAAUCCCGGGGCUCAACCUCGGAACUGCCUUUGAUACAGCAUAGCUAGAGUCCGGAAGAGGUGGGUGGAAUUCCUAGUGUAGAGGUGAAAUGCGUAGAUAUUAGGAAGAACACCAGUGGCGAAGGCGGCCCGCUGGUCCGGUACUGACGCUGAGGUGCGAAAGCGUGGGGAGCAAACAGG